AAUCAACGCUGGCGGCGUGCCUCAGACAUGCAAGUCGAACGCGAAAGUUCCCCGCAAGGGAGCGAGUAGAGUGGCGCUCGGGUGAGUAACACGUAGGUAAUCUACCUUUGGGUGGGAAUAACAGCCGGAAACGGCUGCUAAUACCGCAUAAUGCAGCGGCUCGACAUCGAGACAGUUGUUAAAGCGGGGAAUCCUUCGGAACCUCGCGCCUGAAGAGGAGCCUGCGGCAGAUUAGCUAGUUGGUAAGGUAAUGGCUUACCAAGGCUUCGAUCUGUAGCCGGCC
rnacentral:rRNA from 1 species